rnacentral:rRNA from 1 species
CAGAACGAACGCUGGCGGCGUGCCUAACACAUGCAAGUCGAACGAGAAAUCCGACACUCAGGCAACUGAGUGUUAGAGAGUAAAGUGGCGCACGGGUGAGUAACGCGUGGGUAACCUACCCUUGAAACCGGGAUAACCCCGCGAAAGCGGGACUAAUACCGGAUGUGGUUCCAUGAGCCUCGGCUUUUGGAAUUAAAGGUGACCUCUUCAUGAAAGUUGCCGUUCAGGGACGGGCCCGCGUACCAUUAGCUUGUUGGUAGGGUAAUGGCCUACCAAGGCUACGAUGGUUAGCUGGUCUGAGAGGAUGAUCAGCCACACUGGAACUGGAACACGGUCCAGACUCCUACGGGAGGCAGCAGUGAGGAAUUUUGCGCAAUGGGCGAAAGCCUGACGGAGCAACGCCGCGUGAGUGAUGAAGGCUUUCGGGUCGUAAAACUCUGUCUUGGGGGAAGAAA